GGCCGCUCGGCUCCUGCGGGAGCGGCCGCGCCUCGGGCUCCAGGCUCUCUUUCCUCGUUAGUUAAACGUGUGAGGAGACGCUUGGGGAGAGCUGGUGUUGUGCCGGUUGGCUCCCGCCGUGCCUCCCUUAGGCGCCGCCUCGGUGGGGUCGCUCCGGCGCCGCCCCCCGCGGCUCAUCCCUGCCCGACCGCUCUUAAAAAUAUGCAUAUAUCUCUCAGAACUUUCUUCCUUGCUUACCUCCUAUUGCAGUCACUCCGCGUUACACGAGCGCCCACCUGUCUGAGCUUUCCUGUGGGCGGGCGAAGGUGCUCUGGCCAAAACAAGAUCAAAAGAACUUCGUUCCCUGACCUGAGUGUUUCCUUAGCUCUUCCUUCUACUUCACUCUUCUACUUCGCUUUUCUUGUAUUUACUCCUAUGGCUGCAGGAAUACUUUUCCUGUAUUCACUCUUCUCGCCAUGCUCACUGCUGUCAAGAGUCUCGUUUUAUAUUCACGUGUUAAUGGAUGAGUUUGUUUUCAAUUUUGUUUAAAUAGUUGCAGAGUUUAUAACCGUAGCCAAAAGACAAGUAUUUAAUGCCUAAUCUCCACACGAAAGGGAAAAUCAUGAUUUCUUUUCAUUGUAUGAUAAUUUUUUUUCAUUGUUCAUUGCAUUCAACUGUUCACGAAAGUUAAAAAAAAGAGGUAUUUAUCAGUGCAAAAAGGUAACAGCCAGCACCUGUCUGUGACAGCCCUCUGAUGUUCCUCAGAACCUCUCCUUCCUCUAAUUCUGUGCAGUGGUGGGUGAGGUGUCCACCUCUCCCCACUCGAGGCAAAGGCACCCAGAGAUGGGCAGUGUGGAAUAGUUUGCUGCUGUAUCUUCAAGCAUCUGGACCAGCUUACUCUGACCUAUCAUGGCAUCCAACAAAUUUGUCAUUAAGUGUGGGAACUUUGCUGUCCUGGUGGAUGUUCAUAUUUUGCCUCAAGGCUCCAGUAAAGACACCAGCUGGUUUUCAGAUCAUGAGAAAGAGGAGCUCUGCAAGCUGCUGGAAGAAGUUGUUGCUUCAAGAGUCCAACACUACUUGGAAGCACGGAAACAACGCGGUCAAUGGAAAUCAGGGGGACACGGAUCAUCUGCUCCUUUGUUUCUCACAGCCAACAGUCUCCACAUCACUGCCUACUUCAUGAAGAGAUGGGUUAAUCUCCGUUGUGCUUUAGGGAAGCGUUAUCGUGAGCUGCGUGUGUUUCCAGAGAAAUUUAUAGUUUGUGUCAGUAAACUUGACUUUGAUCCAAGUGCUUGGACAGGUGAAAAUGAUGUAUUGAAAGAAGAACUUUCCAGUGGGGCAUCUGAAUAUUUUACUGAAUCUACUGAGAACAAGGAGCUUAAGAUCAGUCUGAAUGAACAAAUAAAGCAAGACAUCCUGAAAAGAAUUGUGAAAAGGACAAAAACAAGGAAGAGUAGUGCAAGCCAACCUCAAAUCAGCAAGGGCUCCAAGAAAGUGUAUCUUGGCUCGGUGGACUCGCAGGCAGAGAACAGAAAGAGCGACUGUCAGACUGCUCUCAGUCCUCGCUCUGAUGUGAAACGUCGCAGUCCAGGCCUGCUGAAGGACUGCACAAAUACAGCUGGGAGCAGCUUGGAGCUUCCUGUUUUAGAGCUGGAAAAUUAUGUUAAUCAGAGACAGGCAGAUGAUGUUAGCAGCCAGCAAAAACCUCACGCUCUGGAGUGGUUGGAGUCGAGUCUUCUAAGUGAGAACCCUCCUUGCAGCUCUGAGUCAGCACUGCUGGGUCCAAAACAAAGCCAAAAAGUGACCAAAACACAGGCUCAACUAAAGAGCUGUGGUUCAGAGGAGAAGUUAGAGCAAUGCAAAAAAGUGCCCUCUGAAGGGACUCCCUUAAUUUCUGUCCAUCCAGAAAUGAGUAAGUGCAAUGCUGAUUGUUUGGGUCCGUUCCUGGGGGAGAAGACCCCCCGUAAUCCCAGGUUGUUUUCUAAGCAAGACAGGGCAAAGAUUGCAGCUGACAAGCAAUCAUUGACUUGGACAGAAGAACCCUCUCAGCCUCUUUCUGUGAGGAACAGUAGAGUGCAGACAAGCCAACACGAGCCAAGCACAGCCACUGAGGGAUUGCCUGCGAUGCCAUCACCGAGUCUAGAACUGCAAGCUGUGUCUUCAGAGAAGCUUCCCCAAAAAAGAAAAAAAGAAGCUGAAAAUGGUCUCAGGAAGUUAAAACUUCGAAGGCUUAAGAAGUCAUAAAAUCUGGAGUAUUACCUUGGUGGCACAAGUGGUCACCCAAAUCUGUGUGUAAGCAAAAACCGUUUGUGUGAUGUUUCUCGGUGCUUUGCAGUCAGGUUGCUAAUCCUUACCCAGCUUCAGGCUCUGCUAAGAGAUCUUUCCUAGUAACAGCAAAACCAAGGCUGCCAAAAACCUGGUUUGGAGGAAGAAGAGCUUGAGGUAUGUUUACUGUUGUCUUUUUUAUGGACUGGAGAUACUGGGCCAGGAAGGGAGUAAAAAGCACCUUUUUGAUGGACUUGAGAGAGGUAUAAGGACAUUUAAUGAAGUAUUUAUCAGAAAAAUAAGAGUAAUUAAAAUAGUUGGAUAGUUUAUAUUAAAGUUUUAGCAUAGAUAAUUCAAGUGUCAGAAACCAGAGGGCAACCACAUGUAGUUUUUAUUAUCUCCUAAUGUUAUUAAAUGUGGUUUAACCUUAUAAUUACAAUUUAUUUGUAAUCUUAACUGGAUAAGAUACCUGCCUGCACCCUUACAAAGGAAUACCAUACAUUAUAGGGGGCUUGGAUACAUCAAACUUUCUCACAAGUGCCAAGUUGCACCAUUUCUGCUGCCCUCACUGACUCACUGGGUUCGAGGCUCUUUGGAGCUGUGUAUUUAGAGCUUCAUUCCUUGAAAAAGUCGUGUCUUGGAUCCUCUCAGAAAUGCAGUUAUUCAGGGAAAAAGCUUUGAAUCGAUGGUCAUUUCUGGAUUUUAGGUGGUGUCGCUGCUCAAAACUGUUGUUUCUGUUGUCUGUGCAACAGGACUUUUGUAACAGCUUCCCUUUUGCAAACCUGGUGGGUGCUUUGGGUGGUGCUGGGACACUCGGGCUGUGUCAUUGUCAUGCCUGUUAUCUCUUUAUUUUAAGCCCAGGGUCUCUUCUCAGACUUUGCUUUACCAGCUGCACCCAGAGGACUGGCAGAGGUGUGGUCUGACAUGCUUUUGAACCACAGACCUGAUUUCCUAAAUCAGGUUUAGGGAGAAAAAAGAAGCUGGAAACUGAGCUGUUUCCAAAUCUUGGCUGUGGUUUUCUAUUACCAGUUUGCUUCUGAGCAGCACGAGCACACCUUUCUGUUAAAAGUAAGGAAUGUUCAAGGCUCUCUUCUGUUCUGAAACUGCCACUGAAGCACAGAAACAGUAUCUUUGGUUCAGUUUUUUCUCUCAAACCAGCCAGCUUUGGUGGGUUUUUAUUUUUGAUGAAUCAUCUGGUUCAUUUGGUCUGUGCUCUUUGCUGAUAGUGAAACAGCCCUUUCCUAGAGAAACACUUUCUAUGGGUGCAGACGAUUGUUUCCAUUAUUCUUUACAUCAAAGGAGUUAAAAAUAUUUGUUUAGUGAACUUUUGUGUUUAAACACACAUCAAAAGCUAGACCAGCCUUUUACGUAAUCAUUUAUAAAGAGGAAGCAGCUGAUGUAAAAUCUCCCUUGCCCAGUGUUGAUCCAUAGGAAGGUUUAAAGCAUCCUAAGAGUUAUUGUGAGCACUAAGCUUUGUGUUAAUUAUGGUGUUAUCUGCCAGGUAAGAACCCAAACUUUCCUUGCUGCAGAAGGUUUUGUCCAAGCGAGGUGUUAAGGAGCCAUUUAUUUGGUCAGGGAGUUCCUUCUCCCUUGCCUUGGCUGAGAUUUAAUUGACAUUUUCAUCCCAUUGGUUUUUGACUGGAAAAUGGGUUCUUUCUAAAGAAAAAAAUAACAGAGGAAAUAUUUUUCUGUUUGCAGUGGGAAUAAGAAAGAUGUAAAAUAUAGACUUUCCCAGAUUGCAUGUUAUGAAUAGUUAUCUCCUGGCUGUAUCAGUACCAGUGAGAGGUUUUGUUCUGUAUUCAAACAGGCUGCAGCAAACAGAGGCAAUAACGCCGAGUCUCUUUGCCAGCAGUGGGAAGUGUGGGUUGGCCUCAGAAAUUAGCUUUAAUAAAAGGCACUCCUCACUUCUUUGCUUUGUGCUUUUUUUUUUCUUCUCUAAUGAGCACUAACUGGCUUCCCCUCACCUGUGUGAAGGAGAAGAUGUGGGCUGGGGGAAGAGCAGCACAGGAGCCUUUCAUCAGAGGGAUAUCAAAGCAGCUGAACUGAGAGGGAGGCGCAUGUGCUUAUCCUGAUGGCUGGGGCAGCACUGAGGGAAGUUUUCCAAGGGAAAGCCAGCUGGCAGGCACUACACUGACAAGGCUCUGGGCAUGUGAUUGGGAAGAGUAAGAGCAGCCCCCCCACCAAGGUAGCACAGCCACGGUGGAAACCUCCUUCUGAACUGCUCCCUCACGUUGUUGGUGGUGUUGUCGUCAGAGGCCGUGUGAGUGUGGCUGCUCUGCUUUCGGCGCUUCCGGAUGCACCAGUAAAACACGGUGACCAGGCAACAGAUCCAGGCUACUGUCAGGACCGAGCUCAGCAACGGCACCAGGAAAUCUGGAAGAGACAGGAGAGCGGUCAGUCCUGCUGUGAACCCAGGGGGCCAACUCCAGGCUUUCUACAAAGAAAACCAAUCUCAGUUCUUAAGCCUUGUUUUUUCACUUAUUUCUCCACGAGGAGAGCGGCAACCGCUUCACCAGGUUAGGUCGCUGCUUUAGAGCAUUUUCAAAACCUUCGUGGUUUUCUUAAAUAAAAAGAUCCCAGUGAACAGGGCCAAGGAGCAGAGACUCCAGACUUCCCUUUGGAAGGGCUGUUCUAGUCAGGGCACGGGUACAGGAGUCUGGGGACAAGGACCAGCUCACCUGUUUUGCUCUUCACCGGCCGCCGCUGCACCCUGACUUCGGCCACCGCUGCGAUGAGGGUGUUGUUCCCGUCGCGCUUACUGACCAGGUCGAUGAUCUUAUCUGUGAUGUCCUUGAUGGGGUUUUCAUCUUCCCCGAUAUCUUCGGCAGACUGCAGGACAAGGCACACAGUUAACACCAAAUGCCACAGCAGAUGCAUGGGGGAAUCUGCUAUUUAUAAACUUCCACAGUCACUUAAGGCUCUUGGUGCUUUUAACACAUAAAAAAAUCCAACCCAAAAGGCUGGCUAUGGGCAGAAACUAAUAAUGCAUAUUUUUUGUCCCCAUCCCUACAAAGACCAAAAAUCCCCCCCAGAAAGCAAGAAUGGAGCACAGAAAUGUUUUACUCCCCCUAUUACAGUUGCCCCCAGAUGGCAGCUCUCAGGUAUGCACAUGUAACCAGGAUUCCUUCCCUGUUCUUAGAGGGAAUCAGGAUGGAAACUAAACCACAAGAAGUGCUGACAAAGCCAGGAAUUAAGAUUUUUAUGAAAUCCACAUGUUGCACACAUAUCUAAUUACUACUGAGACAUUCAAAAAUAUUCCAGGAAUACUUACAAUAGCAACAUGGAUUUCAUUAUUUGCCAAGUGGGAAGGCUCACAGGUAAUGUAGAUGGAAUAUUCAACAGAAACAUUCUUCAGAAUAUUCAGAUUCCUCAAUUCACUGCAAACAUGCUCUGUGGUAAGGCCCUGGAGGACACAAAAAAGGUGUUGGGUUUUUUAAAUAUAUAUGCACAUAAACACACAGAUAUAAGAUUUGCUUGGGUUUUUUUUCCUGCCCUGAAGUAAGAGUUCUCGAGGGAAAAGGAGGUGGAAUUCCCUCAAAACCAGCUUUCAUUCUGCCCUAGACACAAAAGCAUUUAUGGUGGAAGGUUGUAUUAAUCCUUCUCUGAUUUGUUUACUUUGAUAAAAAGACAGUGCCACCUUUUAUUGUGCUUUUCCCUAUGACAAAAGUCAUUCCAAGCUCCGGGAAGCAAAUCCACAGGUGCCACAGCACAGCGAGCUGCUGCUACUCACCGGUGACAUCAUUUCUUUGUUGAAGGUGAAGGUGAUGUUGGCACAGUUGUCCUGGUAGUAAGAAUCUGAGUUGCAUUUGGUCCUCACAGGCUGCUGGUUGGAGGGCCAGCACUCGCCCACGGCGGCACACGGGUGGGUGAAGCAGUGGUCGUCCCGCACGGGGACACAGGCGUGGCCGGCGGGGCACUCGCUGUGACCUUUGCCGUGCAGGACACAGGGCCGAGGGCCACACCACACCUAGGAGAGAAGAAAUGCUGGUAAGAACCCACUGGUUAGAGGACAGAGAACAGUAUAACCCGAAGCACAGCCCAGCUGUACCUUAGAACAGGUGACUUUCCCAUUCAGACACUGGCAGGUAUUGCAGUCGUCGUCCCACUUCGCCCCAUCUGGCAUUACUCGAACGCUGGUAAUGCAAGGCCUUCCUGUAACUGAAGAGUGAACAAGAAUUAGAAGCUUAAAACAGGGAAAAAGUGAAAAAAAAACCCCAAAAAACAAAAUCCAAACAAACACCAACCCUACCAAACCCUUUCCUAAGUUCACCUAAACUUAUCGCUAAGUUUGCUUCUUCAAUAAAGGUAUUUGCUUUAAACAAUAACAGAUAACAGCCCCGAAAAAACAACCCCAUAGAACCACAAAACCAUCAAGAUGCAAUUACACAGAUCUUGCUACAAACAUUAGGACCAGCUCUGGCAUCUGGAAUACCUUCUUGGCAUCCUGGACCACUGCGACCCGGGGGGCAAAUGCAACGGUACCCAUUAAUUUCAUCCACACACGUCGCUCCAAAGGCGCAGGGCGAGGACUGGCACUCGUUGAUAUCUGUGAUGGGAAGGAGAGGAAAUAGCAUCCUUUUGUUUUGGCAGAAAAAAGCAAACAUAGGAUAUAUUUGCCUACUGGAGCUUUUAUGUUCAUUUUCUAGCGUCUGCUGGGAGAUGGAUUCCUGCUGGCAGCACCGGUGUAACCUCAAAACAAGUCCUUUGACGUUUCUGCUGUGUGGCACUAGCAAAGAUCAAAACCUGACCCCUGUGGCUACUUGAGCUUUCCAAGGGCAAGGACACAUUCCUUCCCACACAGGCACACUUCCUCUCCUCUGAUGUGCUCCAGUUUUGUCCCCCACUAGAUUCUUCAACUGAUGACAAUGUUAAACCCCUUCCCAGUUGUAUUGCUGCUGUGAGACUUCCAUUUCCAUGGCUGUUAUUAAAAAAAGUGUUAGUGUCCUCCUACCUGUAAUUAUUAUUAAAUUACAGGGAAGCACAUACAUCACCUCAGGGCUUGGAGGUGGAUUAUUAAUUGACAAGGUUUUUGGCUGGCACACUUUCAUCUCAAGCAGAAGCCUGGGUCACACAAACACAUGUGAACUGGGAAAACUAUCCUGAAGGCAUUUUGACUGCUCAUCUGAACCAAGAAGU